rnacentral:rRNA from 1 species
UACGUAGGGGGCAAGCGUUUGUCCGGAAUCAUUGGGCGUAAAGCGCGCGUAGGCGGCCCGGUAAGUCCGUUGUGAAAGUCAAAGGCUCAACCUUUGAACGCCGAUGGAUACUGCCGGGCUAGAGUCCGGAAGAGGCGAGUGGAAUUCCUGGUGUAGCGGUGGAAUGCGCAGAUAUCAGGAGGAACACCAAUAGCGAAGGCAGCUCGCUGGGACGGUACUGACGCUGAGACGCGAAAGCUAGGGGAGCGAACGGG